GUUCUCCUUACUGCAAUUAAAUUAAAAUUCAACUGUUACUGAAAACCCGGGGAGCUG
rnacentral:other from 1 species